GGCGUGGGCAUGGUGGAGGGGCUGGGAAGUGCCUGUUAAUUUGAAAGAAGUUCAGAGUCCUGAUUCCAGGGCCGAUGUUACACGAGAGGAGUUGGGAGCUGAUCUGGAGAUGUGACCGUCUUGGCUGAUGACGCUGACUUCGGAGAGAUUCCAGAACCCUUCUAGAUGCCGGAUCAAGUCCCACCAACGUUAAAUGGCGCACAAUGUCUAGGAUUAAUUGGCGCCCGAAAUAUGGACAAUUUGGAGAUGAAGUAUUCACCUGAGCGGAUAAAACAGCACCAGCGAUGGUGGUAAGAUUAACUGUGCGUAGAGCCCAUGUCAGCUUUGGAAGCCUGCAGAUCCGCAACUGCAUGGGUGAUACUUUGUGUUUAAGUCAGAGAAAGGAGUAUUACAAUUCUCAUGAUAAUUGGAACUACAAAUGAUUUACCGUGAUAAUGAUUAUGAUUAAAGCUAUGAGCAAGCA